rnacentral:rRNA from 1 species
GAAUAUUGCACAAUGGGCGCAAGCCUGAUGCAGCGACGCCGCGUGGGUGAAGACGGUUUUCGGACUGUAAAGCCCUUUUCUAGGUGACGAGAGUGGACGGUAGCCUAGGAAUAAGUCUCGGCUAACUACGUGCCAGCAGCCGCGGUAAAACGUAGGAGGCGAGCGUUAUCCGGAGUUACUGGGCGUAAAGCGCGUGCAGGCGGAUCAGUAAGUUACUCAUGAAAGCUCCCGGCUAAACUGGGAGAGGUUGAGUGAUACUGCUGGUCUAGAGUGGAUGAGAGGUAGGUAGAAUUCCUUGUGUAGUGGUGAAAUGCGUAGAUAUAAGGAAGAAUACCAGUGGCGAAGGCGACCUACUGGCAUCCAACUGACGCUCAGACGCGAAAGCAUGGGUAGCGAACGGG